rnacentral:rRNA from 1 species
UACGGGGGGAGCAAGCGUUGUUCGGAUUUACUGGGCGUAAAGGGCGCGUAGGCGGCCAGCACAAGUCAGUUGUCAAAUCUCCGAGCUUAACUCGGAAAGGUCAACUGAUACUGUGCGGCUAGAGUGCGGAAGGGGCAACUGGAAUUCUUGGUGUAGCGGUGAAAUGCGUAGAUAUCAAGAGGAACACCUGCGGCGAAGGCGGGUUGCUGGGCCGACACUGACGCUCAUGCACGAAAGCGUGGGGAGCAAACAGG